CACAGCUCUUACCUUCACCCAACAUUACUGUGAGUUUAUUGCUGAGGAGCUCUGUGAUACACACACCUUCGCUGAACAUUACUUUUUAUUAUUGCUGAGGAGCUCGUGAUACACUUAUCUUCGCUGAACAUUACUGUGAGUUUAUUGCUCAGGAGCUCUGUAAUACCCCCUGUGAGGGAGGGGGCCUAGAGCCACAAUCGGCCCGAGCUGCCGGGCUCCCUGCCUG